AAAUCACUAAGUUGCGUAUUUCCAAUCGAAGUUUUGAUUGCCUGUAAAAGUAUAUGUUUCCCGAAAUUUAAUUGUGAUCCGGUUAAACUAUAGCGCUGGAUCGCGAUACUCGAGCAAGCUGUUGGAUGCAAAAUGAAGCUAGCCUACCGCUUUCGCUGCCUCCACCAGCAACUAGAGUUAGACGAGGAACAGAUUCGAGAACAAACA